rnacentral:rRNA from 1 species
UGGGGAAUAUUGGACAAUGGGGGGAACCCUGAUCCAGCCAUGCCGCGUGUGUGAAGAAGGCCUUAUGGUUGUAAAGCACUUUAAGCGAGGAGGAGGGUACUGGUAUUAAUACUACCAGCUACUGGACGUUACUCGCAGAAUAAGCACCGGCUAACUCUGUGCCAGCAGCCGCGGUAAUACAGAGGGUGCGAGCGUUAAUCGGAUUUACUGGGCGUAAAGCGCGCGUAGGCGGCUAAUUGAGUCGGAUGUGAAAUCCCCGAGCUUAACUUGGGAAUUGCAUUCGAUACUGGUUAGCUAGAGUGUGGGAGAGGAUGGUAGAAUUCCAGGUGUAGCGGUGAAAUGCGUAGAGAUCUGGAGGAAUACCGAUGGCGAAGGCAGCCAUCUGGCCUAACACUGACGCUGAGGUACGAAAGCAUGGGGAGCAAACAGG